CCGAGUUAGGGUGCUCUUCGCGCCCGACCUCCAACCCUUUGUCUACCUGACCAGAUGUUGCUUCGGCAGGCCCGCCGCUCCCCUCUCGCGAGGGGGUGGCCGCCGGGGGUCCUUCACCGGUCCCGGGCCCGCGCCUGUCGAUGGCCCUCUCAAACUCAUGCUUAAACGUGUCGUCUGAGUAUAAACAAACAAAUAAAACA
rnacentral:misc_RNA from 1 species